ACCUGGUUGAUCCUGCCAGUAGUCAUAUGCUUGUCUCAAAGAUUAAGCCAUGCAAGUCUAAGUAUAAAUCGUUUUUACUGAUGAAACUGCGAACGGCUCAUUAAAUCAGUUAUAGUUUAUUUGAUGGUACUGGGAUUUAUCCCAACUACAUGGAUAACUGUAGUAACCUAGAGCUAAUACAUGCAAAACAAUCUGACUUUUUGGAAAGAUUGGCACUUAUUAGAUAUCAAACUAAUACCUUCGGGUUUAUUAGGUGAAUCAUAAUAACUGAACAGAUCGCAUGGUCUUGUACCGGCGACGUUUCAUUCAAAUUUCUGCCCUAUCAACUAGAUGUUAGUAUAUUGGACUAACAUGGUGUUUACGGGUGACGGGGAAUUGGGGUUCGAUUCCGGAGAAGGAGCAUGAGAAACGGCUACUACUUCUAAGGAAAGCAGCAGGCGCGCAAAUUAUUCAAUGGAAACAACUUUCCGAAAUAGUGACAAAAAAUAACAAUGCGUUGAUCAAUGAUUGAUGCAAUUGGAAUGAGUACAAUUUAAAACCCUUAACGAGAAACAAUUAGAGGGCAAGUCUGGUGCCAGCAGCCGCGGUAAUUCCAGCUCUAAUAGCGUAUAUUAAUGUUGUUGCAGUUAAAAAGCUCGUAGUUGAAACUUGAAUAUUUUAAUAAGUUUGGUCUAUCUUUAUGAUAUGACUACUUAUUGGUAUUCUUCCUACUAGAUACUCGAU
rnacentral:rRNA from 1 species